rnacentral:rRNA from 1 species
GACGAACGCUGGCGGCGUGCCUAAUACAUGCAAGUUGAGCGAUGAAGAUUGGUGCUUGCCCCAAUUUGAAGAGCAGCGAACGGGUGAGUAACGCGUGGGGAAUCUGCCUUUGAGCGGGGGACAACAUUUGGAAACGAAUGCUAAUACCGCAUAACAACUUUAAACAUAAGUUUUAAGUUUGAAAGAUGCAAUUGCAUCACUCAAAGAUGAUCCCGCGUUGUAUUAGCUAGUUGGUGAGGUAAAGGCUCACCAAGGCGAUGAUACAUAGCCGACCUGAGAGGGUGAUCGGCCACAUUGGGACUGAGACACGGCCCAAACUCCUACGGGAGGCAGCAGUAGGGAAUCUUCGGCAAUGGACGAAAGUCUGACCGAGCAACGCCGCGGGAGUGAAGAAGGGUUUCGGAUCGUAAAACUCUGUUGGUAGAGAAGAACGUUGGUGAGAGUGGAAAGCUCAUCAAGUGACGGUAACUACCCAGAAAGGGACGGCUAACUACGUG